rnacentral:rRNA from 2 species
UACGAAGGGGGCUAGCGUUGUUCGGAAUUACUGGGCGUAAAGCGCACGUAGGCGGACAUUUAAGUCAGGGGUGAAAUCCCGCAGCUCAACUGCGGAACUGCCUUUGAUACUGGGUGUCUAGAGUAUGGAAGAGGUAAGUGGAAUUGCGAGUGUAGAGGUGAAAUUCGUAGAUAUUCGCAGGAACACCAGUGGCGAAGGCGGCUUACUGGUCCAUUACUGACGCUGAGGUGCGAAAGCGUGGGGAGCAAACAGG